GCUGCCUUAGCUCAUUCGGUAGAGCAACUGCCUUGUAAGCAGUAGGUGGCCAGUUCGAUUCUGGCAGGCAGCU
rnacentral:tRNA from 1 species